CCUACGGGAGGCAGCAGUGGGGAAUCUUGGGCAAGGGGGGCAACCCUGAUCCAGCCCUUCCGCGGGAGGGAAGAAGGCCUUCGGGUUGUAAAAGUCUUUCGGCAGGAAGGAAAGGGCGCGCUCUAACAUAGCGCGAUAAUGACGUACCG
rnacentral:rRNA from 2 species